GCUUCUUCCUCUACAUGGAUGCAAGUGAUCAACGUCUUCAGGGACGUCUCUUUCUACUUAUGGGGCAUUGACUUUUGAAACUCUCUCUAUAAUAGCGUAGCUUGUCAAUGAUUGCGAACCACGAUAUGGUUGUCCCCAAUUUUGAUGCCUUCAAAUCUAACCUUUGCAACAAUCAUUUGAAAAUCUUGUGCUUAUUCUACCACAGAUUUUUCAUCUACCAUUUGAUAGCGAAGAAAUGGCUAGCAGCGUAUUUCUUUGUCCCAGCUUCCUCAGUAUCAUAUUUAUUUUGUGAAGCUUUCCACAUUUUCUUUGCAAAGGAGUAAGUAGUAUUGUAAUAAUCAUAAAAUUAUCCGCUAGGCAAUUCAAGAUAUAACGCUCUCGAAGUUCCUCUUCGUUCAUAUUGUUGAUAGAGACCUUGUUUAGAUUCUUCUCAGUGAGGAUGUAGGAUAUACUUUAAGAAGACUGAGGUGAAAUAGGACUUUACUUUUCCACCGCUUAAAAUGAGCUCCCUUAAAACGAAAGGACUUGCUAAGAUCUUCGAAGUAGUCAAUAGGCUUUUCAGGUGCUAAUUCCCUUUGUUUAAAUCUCCUUAAAAUUGUUGGUGAAUUUUCAAUAAUAAAAAAUGAGUUACAUAAUAGAAAGAUAAAGAAAUUGGAAUGAUUGAGACGCGGAUAUUUCGCUCUUUUGAAGGAUAUUCAAGUCUUCUGUGGUUGACAAAGCCUAAAACAUGGUGUAGCAGAAUUUCUCCAUGACUUGUCCCCUCCAAAAUAUGACUAUUCAUCGUAUGGCUUAAACAAACUGUGAACAAUUUGUUGAGCUCAAAGCUCCACUAAAGAAACACCUUUAUUUGCUCAAUAAUCUCUCAAGGAAAAUGAGUGAGA
rnacentral:lncRNA from 1 species